rnacentral:rRNA from 1 species
UCCCUUUUGRGUUUUGUUUAAAGGUUAGUUCUGCUCGGUGCUUUUUAACAGCCGCGGUAAUUUGACCGUGCAAAGGUAGCAUAAUCAUUUGCCUUGUAAUUGAGGGCUAGAAUGAAUGAAUAAACAAGGGUUUUGCUUUAUUUUUAGAAGUUGAGGAAUUUUCUCUCUAUGUGAAGAAGCUUAGAUGGGGAAAGGGGACAAGAAGACCCUUUCGAGCUUUAUUAAAUGUAAGACUUUUKGUUUGUGUUUAGUUUGGUUGGGGCGACCUAGGAAUGAKAUCUUCCUAUUUUUUAUUUUGAUCCACGGKUUGUGAWUAAAAGAACAAGUUACCGAAGGGAUASCAGCGUAAUYUUCUUUGGGAGUUYUUAUUAAAAGGGAGGAU